CCUUAGUCUGAAUGCAAUUUCAAUGUGAAUGCUUCAUAACUUCACAUGUAAUUGGAGAAGAAGACCCUUGGUGCCUUAGAUGCAAAAUUGAAGAAGAAGUUUAAUGGUGAUUGGUGAAAUGGUACUGGUUUCAUAAGUAGUUAAAUCAUCUCAAUAUUCUUUUUGAAGAUAAGCCAUUUUUUAAAUAUGUUUGAAACACUUGCUUCUUCACUUCUAAUGUUGUGAUAGAAUUUGUAACUGAUGCUGUUAAUGUUUAAGGCAUGAACCACCUAUGAUGGCUUGUGUUUGAGGUCUAAGCUUAAAUAGGAUCUAAGCUUAAAAGGUAAUUGUUCUAACUCGGUUUCAUGCUCUGUUUGGUUUUAUUAAUGUCAUACACUUUUGCAUGAAUUUUUCAUACACCAACUGGUUUGAGUCGGUGUUUGAUGUUAGAUCUUGACUCACAUUACUAGAUUCGCGAGAUCUCGCUUCUCAACUCCAUUGGCUAUACCUAAUAUAUAUAGGUUCAUGUCUAUAUUAACUAACAUAAAUGACUGUUGUUUAUUGGUGUGGUGGCUAUUGUCAUUAUUAUUGUUAGUAUUAUGGUUUUCAGGGUACCCUCACAGAUGGAAAAGAGGUUGCCAUCAAACGAAACUCAAAGAUGUCUGAUCAAGGAUUGGAUGAGUUUAAAAAUGAAGUUUUUAUGAUUGCAAAACUUCAGCAUCGUAAUCUUGUGAAGCUUCUUGGUUGUUGUAUUAAAGGAGAGGAAAAAACGUUGAUCUAUCAAUACAUGCACAACAGGAGCUUGGACUACUUCAUCUUUGGGAAAAUGAAAACUUGGUGAAGGGACAUGUGCAGAGAUGUACUGAUUGGACAGAACCUGCAGGCUGCAGCUACAAAGUCAACAAUAAUGCUGGAGGAAUUGCCGAAUGAUCUCGCAAGAGUGGAUAUGCUGUUUCAGGAUGCAGUGGAUCAAUUAGUGAAGAAGAGAUUUCCUUUCUCAUAUUGUCUGGGAAAUAUAUAGCCAUUGCUUUAGUUGAUCACAAUAAAUUGAGUCAUGCUUGGCAAGAUUUUCAUGUCCCUGGCGUCUUGAGCAGUAAUUCUGACUACACAGGUGAUAUAUUUGCUUUAACUUAUUUGCAUAUGCUUCAUAUGCAUUCCUAUGUUGCAAUUAUGCUGUAUAAGUAUAUCAAGCAUUCUUUUGAUUUAUUUAGUUAACUUAUGCAGUGUGCAUGUACUGAAUGACUUUAUAUAAUGAGUUUAGAGAAAUAUAUCAAUAAACUAUUAUAUUUCUUCUUUGACUCACCAAAAAAAAAGAAGAGUGUUUCUUCUUUGAGUGUCUUGAUUAAGUCGACUUGGAUUAUUCUGAUUCCGGUGUAACUUUUAAAUACCAAGAACCUAAGACCGGAAAGGGUAUACAUC